rnacentral:rRNA from 1 species
CGGGCGCACGGCGGAUGCCUUGGCACAGGGAGCCGAUGAAGGACGCGGCAAGCUGCGAUAAUCCCCGGCGAGGAGCACACAUCCUUCGACCCGGGGGUCUCCGAAUGGGCGAACCCAUCCACAGCAGUGUGGAUAUCCCCACCCCGAACACAUAAGGGUGGGGAGGACAACCCGGGGAACUGAAACAUCUAAGUACCCGGAGGAGAGGAAAUCAAUCUCGAGACUCCCCGAGUAGCGGCGAGCGAAAGGGGACCGAUGGCCAAACCGUCGAGCGGGCAUACCCGGCAGGGGUUCCGCCGACGGGGUUGCAGGGCCGCGCAUCCGGGGGCUGCCGCCCCCGGGCGCAGGUCCGGCUGGGGAGCGGAACGGCAUGGGAGGGCCGGCCGCAGCGGGUGACAGCCCCGUACGCGAACCCAGACCGGACGGCGCGACGCGGUCCCUGAGUAGGGCCGGGCACGUGAAACCCGGUCCGAACCUGGGUGGACCACCAUCCAAGCCUGAGUACUACCCUGUGACCGAUAGCGCACCAGUACCGUGAGGGAAAGGUGAAAAGCACCCCGGGAGGGGAGUGAAACAGUACCUGAAACCGUGCGCCCACGAGCAGUCGGAGCACCCUUCGGGGUGUGACGGCGUGCCUUUUGUAGAAUGAGCCAGCGAGUCGCUGGCGCGGGGCGAGGUUAACCGAAAGGGAGCCGGAGCGAAAGCGAGCCUUAACAGGGCGACUUGAGUCCCGCGCCGCGGACGCGAAGCCGGGUGAGCUAUCCGUGGGCAGGCUGAAGCGGGGGUAAGACCCCGUGGAGGGCCGAACGCACGUCGGUUGAAAACGGCGGCGAUGACCUGCGGAUAGGGGUGAAAGGCCAAUCAAACCCGGAGAUAUCUCGUUCUCCCCGAAAUAGCUUUAGGGCUAGCGUCGCGCGUUCACCGCCGGAGGUAGAGCACCGGAUGGACGAGGGGGCUUCGCCGCCUACCGAAUCCAACCGAACUCCGAAUGCCGGCGGCCCAGAGCGCGGCAGUCAGAGCAUGUGGGCUAAGCUGUGUGCUCGAGAGGGAAACAGCCCGGACCGCCCGCUAAGGUCCCCAAGUUCCAGCCGAGUGGCAAAGGAUGUGCGUCCGCCCAGACAACCAGGAUGUUGGCUUAGAAGCAGCCAUCCAUUCAAAGAGUGCGUAACAGCUCACUGGUCGAGUGGACAUGCGCCGACAAUACACGGGGCUAAGCUGGACACCGAAGCGGCGGGAUUUUGAUUUUCAGAAUCGGUAGGGGAGCUUCCCAUGGGCGGGGAAGCCGCCGGGCGACCGGCGGUGGAGCGCAUGGGAGUGAGAAUGCUGGCAUGAGUAGCGAGAGACGAGAGAGUAACUCGUCCGCCGUGAACCCGAGGUUUCCUGGGCAAGGCUAAUCCUCCCAGGGUCAGUCGGGGGCUAAGGCGAGGCCGGUAGGCGUAGCCGACGCGCAGCAGGCAGACAUUCCUGCACCGCGCACGCGGCGCUACGACCGACGGGGCGACGGAUGGGGGUGGCUCGGCGGGGUUCUGGACGUCCCCGUGAUGGAGCGCGGCCCGCGGACCAGGGAAAUCCGGUCCGCAUCAAGGGCGAGGCUCCGGACGAAGCACUUAAGCGAAGCGAGUGAGCCCGAGGUCCCUAGAAAAACCCCUAGGCAGGCGCGUGCGCGCCCGUACCGCAAACCGACACAGGUGGGUGGGUAGAACAUACCGAGGCGAUCGGGUCAACCAUGGUCAAGGAACUCGGCACAAUGGCCCCGUAACUUCGGGAGAAGGGGUGCCCGCGCGUACGUGAACGGACUUGCUCCGGGAGCGGAGGCGGGCCGCAGUGGAGAGGCCCAAGCGACUGUUUACCAAAAACACAGGACUCUGCAGAAGCCGCAAGGCGACGUAUAGGGUCUGACGCCUGCCCGGUGCCGGAAGGUCACGCGGAGGAGUUAGCGCAUCGCGCGAAGCCCCGAAGCCAAGCCCCGGUAAACGGCGGCCGUAACUAUAACGGUCCUAAGGUAGCGAAAUUCCUUGUCGGGUAAGUUCCGACCUGCACGAAAGGCGCAACGACUUGGGCGCUGUCUCGACCAUGGACCCGGUGAAAUUGCACUGGUCGUGAAGAUGCGACUUACCCGCGGAAGGACGGAAAGACCCCGUGAACCUUCACUGCAGCUUGGCAUUGGCCGCUGGUCCCGCGUGUAGAGGAUAGGCAGGAGGCAUCGAUCCGGAGGCGCCAGCCCCCGGGGAGCCGCCCUUGGAAUACUGCCCUCGCGCGACCGGCGUCCUAACCCGAGGCCGUCAACCGGCUCGGGGACCGUGCCAGGCGGGCAGUUUGACUGGGGCGGUCGCCUCCUAAAGGGUAACGGAGGCGCGCGAAGGUCCGCUCGGGACGGUCGGCAACCGUCCUUUUGAAUGCAAGAGUACAAGCGGGCUUGACUGCGAGGCCCACAAGCCGAGCAGGUGCGAAAGCAGGCUCUAGUGAUCCGGCGGCCCCGAGUGGGUGGGCCGUCGCUCAACGGAUAAAAGGUACUCCGGGGAUAACAGGCUGAUCUCGCCCAAGAGUUCACAUCGACGGCAAGGUUUGGCACCUCGAUGUCGGCUCAUCG